rnacentral:rRNA from 1 species
UCAAGCGAAUAAGUGCAUAUGGUGGAUGCUUGGCGAUCACAGGCGAUGAAGGACGUGGUAGCCUGCGAAAAGCUACGGGGAGCUGGCAAACAAGCUUUGAUCCGUAGAUAUCCGAAUGGGGAAACCCACUGCGUAAGCAGUAUCCCUGGCUGAAUACAUAGGCCAGUGGAGGCGAACCGGGUGAACUGAACAUCUCAGUAGCUCGAGGAAAAGAAAUCAACCGAGAUUCCGAAGUAGCGGCGAGCGAAAUCGGAACAGCCUUUACGAUUUAGCCAUCCGUAUAGUCGAACAGUCUGGAAAGUCUGGCCGUAGCAGGUGAUAGCCUGUAGACGAAAUGCGGGUGGUGGAACUAGGCGUAAGAGAAGUAGGGCGGGACACGUGAAAUCCUGUCUGAAGAUGGGGGGACCAUCCUCCAAGGCUAAAUACUCGUGAUCGACCGAUAGUGAACCAGUACCGUGAGGGAAAGGCGAAAAGAACCCGGAAGGGGAGUGAAAUAGAUCCUGAAACCGUAUGCAUACAAACAGUCGGAGCCUCUUUAUGGGGUGACGGCGUACCUUUUGUAUAAUGGUCAGCGACUUACAUUCAGUGGCAAGCUUACCGGAUAGGGAAGGCGUAGCGAAAGCGAGUCCGAAUAGGGCGUUCAGUCGCUGGGUGUAGACCCGAAACCAGAUGAUCUAUCCAUGGCCAGGUUGAAGGCACGGUAACACGUGCUGGAGGACCGAACCCACUAGUGUUGAAAACUAGGGGAUGAGCUGUGGAUAGGGGUGAAAGGUAAACAAAUCUGGAAAUAGCUGGUUCUCUCCGAAAACUAUUUAGGUAGUGCCUCAAGUAUUACUGCGGGGGGUAGAGCACUGUUAUGGCUAGGGGGUCAUGGCGACUUACCAAACCAUGGCAAACUCCGAAUACCCGCAAGUACAGCUGGGAGACAGAGCACCGGGUGCUAACGUCCGGACUCAAGAGGGAAAACCCAGACCCCAGCUAAGUCCCAAAUUAUCGCUAAGUGGGAAACGAAGUGGGAAGGCAUAGACAGUCAGGUUGGCUUAGAAGCAGCCAUCCUUUAAAGAAAGGUAAUAGCUCACUGAUCGAGUCGUCCUGCGCGGAAGAUGUAACGGGGCUAAGCGAUAACCGAAGCUGCGGGUGUGCACUUUUAGUGCACGCGGUAGGAGAGCGUUCUGUAAGCCUGCGAAGUGGCUUGUGAAGGCUGCUGGAGUAUCAGAAGUGCGAAUGCUGACAUGAGUAGCGAUAAAGGGGGUGAAAAGCCCCCUCGCCGUAAGUCCAAGGUUUCCUGCGCAACGUUCAUCGGCGCAGGGUGAGUCGGCCCCUAAGGCGAGGCAGAGAUGCGUAGCUGAUGGGAAGCUGGUUAAUAUUCCAGCACCGUCGUACAGUGCGAUGGGGGACGGAUCGCGGAAGGUCAUCAGGGUUGGAAGUCCCUGUUGCUGCAUCGAAGAUGGCGCUUAGGCAAAUCCGGGCGCGUGAAUCAAGGGUGUGGCACGAGCGAGCAUGUCUCGCGAAGUGAUUGGAAGUGGUUCCAAGAAAAGCCUCUAAGCUUCAGCUGUACGAGACCGUACCGCAAACCGACACAGGUGGACGGGAUGAGUAUUCCAAGGCGCUUGAGAGAACUCAGGAGAAGGAACUCGGCAAAUUGAUACCGUAACUUCGGGAUAAGGUAUGCCCGGUAGUGUGAUGCGCCUGCGCGCAAAGCAUGAUGGGGUCGCAGAGAAUCGGUGGCUGCGACUGUUUAUUAAAAACACAGCACUCUGCAAAGACGAAAGUCGACGUAUAGGGUGUGACGCCUGCCCGGUGCCGGAAGGUUAAGUGAUGGGGUGCAAGCUCUUGAUCGAAGCCCCGGUAAACGGCGGCCGUAACUAUAACGGUCCUAAGGUAGCGAAAUUCCUUGUCGGGUAAGUUCCGACCUGCACGAAUGGCGUAACGAUGGCCACGCUGUCUCCUCCUGAGACUCAGCGAAGUUGAAAUGUUUGUGAUGAUGCAAUCUACCCGCGGCUAGACGGAAAACCCCAUGAACCUUUACUGUAGCUUUGCAUUGGACUGUGAACCGGCCUGUGUAGGAUAGGUGGGAGGCGCUGAACUCGAGUCGCCAGAUUCGAGGGAGCCAUCCUUGAAAUACCACCCUGGUUUGUUUGCGGUUCU